rnacentral:tRNA from 1 species
GGAGAGAUGGCCGAGUGGCUUAAGGCAGCGGUUUUGAAAAUCGCCAAAGGCUCAUGUCUUUCCUAGGUUCAAAUCCUACUCUCUCCGCCA